rnacentral:SRP_RNA from 1 species
GCUGGGCACGGUGGCUUGUGCCUGUAGUCCCAGCUACUCAGGAGGCUGAGGUGGGAGGAUCGCUUGAGCCCAGGAGUUGUGGACUGUAUUGCGCUAUGCCCAUCAGGUGUCCGCACUAAGUUUGGCAUCAGUAUGGUGACCUCCCAGGAGCGGGGGACCACCAGGUUGCCUAAGGCGGGCUGAACUGGCCCAGGUCGGAAACAGAGCAGGUCAAAACUCCCGUGCUGAUCAGUAGUAGGAUCGCGCCUGUGAAUAGCCACUGAACUCCAACCUGUGCAACAUAAGGAGACCCUAUCUCU